rnacentral:lncRNA from 1 species
GUGGGUGGGGCUCGCGAUUUGAGUCGGGACUAGCGGAUUCGCCGGAGGCUCUGGUCUCCCAGCAAGAGGACAAAUGUGCCGGGAUGUAUGCAGGCAAGCCAGAAGAGGAGAGUCCAGGACCAGUAAAUCAGGUCAGUAAAUGCACUAUUCUGUCAGGGGCCAAGUUACCACUGAAGAGGUAAGACAAGUGAUGGUUGAGGAUCAUAAAUGUGAUUCAAGGACAGCAGAAAUUACCAAGAAGAAAGGGAAAUGUCUGUCAGAUGUGGCACCAAUCUCUUAGUUUCCCCUUAGUAAUACUCCACUGAGAGUAGUUAGAGAAGCUAGUGGGCCAUUGAGAUGGCAGGGUGCCAGCAGCAUUUGGACCCACAGCUUCUGCAACAUUCAAUGCCAGGGCCUGCAGCUGUGGUGGGUGCAGCAGCCUCAGAGGAUGUGAAGUAGACCUCCCCAGAAGUAUCUAUCCUUUUCAGAGAACACCAGCAGAUUAACAGUCACUUUGGACAUUGGAAGCUGCAGCAAACACCUCAAUAUAAUAAGUUGACACAGGAGCAAAGGGAAUGAAUGGUCCAACCCAUGGAGCAGUCAGGGAAGCUGGUCAGGGAAAAGGCAGGGGAGACACCCCUAAGGGGUCCCCAGGCUAUCUGUGAGGAAUUAAAGGGGUCUGGACUUCCCGUACUGUUGUUAGAAACUAAGGAAAAAUACUACUAAUAAGAUAAAUGUCUGUGGUUGUCUUACAUCUUAGCUGGGUAUGUAGGAAUUUAGGUUAUAUGAAAAUUAUUUAGAAUUAAGCUUUCUUUCUUUCUUUCUUUUUUUCUUUUUCUUUCCUUUUUCUCCUGGUCACCCAUGGCAUAUAGAGUUCCCAGGUCAAGGGUAGGAUCUGACCUAUGCCACAGCUGCGGCAAUGCCAGAUCCUUUAACUCACUUGCCAGGCUGGGGAUUGAACCAUCCUAUUGUGCCACAGCAGGAACUCUAGAAGUAAGUUUUCUUAAGGAGUCACAAAACUUUUCUUUUUUGUUUUUUAGGGCUGCACCUGUGGCAUAUAGAGGUUCCCGGGCUAGGGGUUGAAUCAGCUCUGCAGCUGUUGGCCUACACCACAGCUGUAGCAAUGUGGAAUCAGAGCCACAUCUGUGACCUACGCCAUAGCUCAAGGCAACAUUGGAUCCUUAACCCACUGAGCGAGGCCAGGGAUUGAAUCUGCAUCCUCAUGGAUACUAGUAAGAUUCAUUUCUGCUGAGCCAUGAUGGGAAUUCCAACACAGGAUUAUUCCAACUCCCUCUCUUUCCCUCAGGGUUUGCUGACUUUACCUAUAAUGUCUUCUCAUGUUGCCUCACCCUAAAAGAAUUAGGACUAUCUAAGGCAGCAUUUAACUGGAAACCCAACUAAGGUUUGUGAGGCUGAACAAAUAAAGUUUUAUUUAAAUUUUUUUUUUAAUUUUGAUUUUUCUUUUUUCUUUAAAUUUUGUUCUGAGGUAUUUAUUUUUGAAUAUGCAAAAAUUUUAUUUAUUUAAAUAAUUUUUAUUUUUUCCAUUAUAGUUGGUUUACAGUGCUGAGUAAUCACUUUUCUACUGUACAGCAAAGUGACCCAGUCACACAUGCAUAUAUACAUUCAUUUUCUCACAUUACCCUCCAUUAUUCUCCAUCACAAGUGACUAGAUAUAGUUCCCAGUGCUACACAGCAGGAUCUCAUAGCUAAUCCAUUCUGAAUGCAAUACUUUAUAUCUAUUAACCCCAGAUUCCCAGUCCAUCCCACUCCCACCCCCUUCCCCUUGGUAAUCACAAGUCUGUUCUCCAAGUCCAUGAGUUUCUUUUCUGUGGAAAGGUUAUUUGUGCCAUAUAUUAGAUUCCAGAUGUGUGAUAUCAUAUGGUAUUUGUCUUUCUCUUUCUGACUUCACUUAGUAUGAGAGUCUAUAGUUGUAUCCAUGUUGCUGCAAAUGGCAUUAUUUUGUUCUUUUUUAUGGCUGUGAGGUAUUCCAUUGUGUAUAUAUACCAUAUCUUCUUAAUCAAUUCAUCUUGUCAGUGGACAUUGAGGUUGUUUCCAUGUCUUGGCUAUUAUGAAUGGUGCUGCAAUGAACAUAUGGGUGCAUGUGUCUAUUUCAAGGAAAGUUUUGUCUGGAUAUAUGCCCAUUAUAGUUGAUUUGCCAUAAUCCAUCAAUUUCUACUGUACAGCAAAGGUUUAUUUCUUACUUAACAGUAAAUCUGGAAUUGUCAUUCUUCUGACCUGGUUUCAAGAGCUCAGUGAAGAGAAACACAAUUGUAGAAAUCAAGUCUGUUUUUGAGACAGGAAGAAGGUAGAAAUGAGAAGGUGGGCCAAGGACUCAGCAGGAGGAUUUUAUGUUAUAUCAAGAAACAAAAGCUCCAGAAGGCUUCCAGUUAUGUUUCCUUGGCC